AUGGCAACCCACAUCAAUUCUCUUCUUUUUAUCUUUGCAAUUUUAUGCAUUGCUUCGACCAUGGUUACAGAAGGCGGUUUAACAGGGAUAGGAAAAUGUGUUAUUAUGGGAGCAUGUCCAGAUGGAGCACAACAGUGUUACAAAUAUUGGAAGUCAAGGGGCUUCUCUAAAGGUGGCGAGUGUGUGAAAGAUACAAACUUUUGUUGUUACAUUACUUGA